UUGUUCUACCUCACAAUCAUCAGUGUGAACAGCUGGAGGUGGAGAGAAGUGAGUCGUACGUGCGCACAUGCUUUACCAAAGACCAAUUUCAUUACCGUGUUUUGUUCACAAUGCGAUGUGCUGUCAUUGGCUGCACGCCUCCCACUCUGUGACAUAUAUUACUCUCAGCUGCCUCCUUUCAGCAGUUUCUCCGAUGCCUGGGUCGCUGCUCACCCUGCUGAAUUCUCCUGAGAUCUGAUGCUGACAACUACCUGAGCCAGUGAGAGGGAACCCGCAUUGAUCACAUUCAAGAAUGAUGUUCUUGAAGUGAUCACUUCAUCCAAGUGUAUCCACUCUUUCUGCCAUGAAUCAUCAGCACGGACAUUUUCUCAUCACAUACGAGGAAGCCACAUCAUUUUACCUGCUUCACACUGCAGCUCUAAGAAUAGACGAGGCAACGGUAUGCUGUUUGUGUCAGGGAUAGAUCAAGGCCUGGCCUGGCCCCUUCAAUGAAACAUGGAUGGGGGCAUGAACGUCAUCCUGCACAAAAAAAAAAAAAAAAAGCUCCGGUCCUUCAAAAUGCAUCAGUGAAAGGCUUGUUUCAUCAUGAGAUAAAAUGCCAUUCACAGAAUGCAUGGAAAUGUGCAUUUUGAUGACCGUACUGUAUAGUAACUUUGAUCAAACAUUUGAUGUCAUGAAUCAUUUGAUGUCUUUCAAGAACCAAGACAAUCUUUUCGAUCAGUAUCAAUAAUAGUGUCACUUCA